CGAAACCCUUGUCGCUAGUUGCCAGCGGGUCAUGCCGGGGACUCUAGCGAGACUGCCGGUGUUAAACCGGAGGAAGGUGGGGAUGACGUCAAGUCCUCAUGGCCCUUAUGCCCAGGGCUGCAAACGUGCUACAAUGGCCGGGACAAACCGACGCGAAACCGCGAGGUGGAGCAAACCGGAAAAAACCGGCCCCAGUUCGGAUUGCAGUCUGCAACUCGACUGCAUGAAGCUGGAAUCGCUAGUAAUCGCAGAUCAGCUACGCUGCGGUGAAUGUGUUCCUGAGGAUUGUACACACCGCCCGUCAAGUCAUGGAAGCCGGCAGCACCCGAAGUCACCCCGUCACAGGGGUGCCGAAGGUGAGGUCGGUGACUGGGACUAAGUCGUAACAAGGUAGCCGUAGGGGAACCUGCGGCUGGAUCACCUCCUUU
rnacentral:ncRNA from 1 species